CGUUUUAAAGCCUUGGAACUGAGUUUUAAUAUCCCUGGCAACACGUAUGAUAGCAAUCACCAUUACAACUCUGGUUUGCCUUGUUCUUCGUAUUCUGCAGCUCAUUCCUGCCCCCUGUCAAGGUUAUGCUCAGGGUUACCUGAGUCAGCUCAUGGUUUGAAGUUGCACUGUAGGGAAGGAGAUCCUUUGUCACUGAUCUGUAAGUUGCCACAUUUUAGUUCAGAGCUGGCUCUGCGUGUGUACAGCCCACCACAGCACACCCCACCAUCAUAUCCCAUCACCCAAAGCAUGCAGCAGCAUUGGAACACCCAUUAGAACUGAGAUAAAGCAAAGUACCUGGAGCCAUUCCUGCCGGGAGAGUUGCUCAGGUGUUGCUUGAACGUUUCCUCCUUUCAUCCAGGUGAUGAUAACAGGAAUGAGAGAGAGCUCUGGAUUAAGCAGAGGACUGGUGUGGAAAGGAGGAAGAGAAGAAGGGGAAGAGCAGAAGUCCCAGCACACCUAUCCCUGAGCCGCACGAGCCAGGAGAUGCCAUGUUCCAGGCUGUGCACUGCGCCAGGGGGCUGUUUUGUUUCCCCUGCUUGCAUUCAGUGGGGCAGAAGGCGGUGUGUGACUGAGAUUGCAUGCCACUGGCACAAUGACAGUUGCAUAAGCAGCUCUCAAAUAUCAGCUUGGCAUUCUUCUGCCUUUCACGUGCCCACGUGUGCAACCCAAAGGAUCAUGUCAGAAAGCAGCAUGACGCUCAGUAACCUCCAAAAUGCUUGUAUUUGAAAGAGGGAAUCCUUCCCUUCCCCUUUCCC
rnacentral:lncRNA from 1 species